GAUGAACGCUGGCGGCGUGCCUAAUACAUGCAAGUCGAGCGAACAGACGAGGAGCUUGCUCCUCUGACGUUAGCGGCGGACGGGUGAGUAACACGUGGAUAACCUACCUAUAAGACUGGGAUAACUUCGGGAAACCGGAGCUAAUACCGGAUAAUAUAUUGAACCGCAUGGUUCAAUAGUGAAAGACGGUUUUGCUGUCACUUAUAGAUUGAUCCGCGCCGCAUUAGCUAGUUGGUAAGGUAACGGCUUACCAAGGCAACGAUGCGUAGCCGACCUGAGAGGGUGAUCGGCAACACUGGAACUGAGACACGGUCAAGACUCCUACGGGAGGCAGCAGUAGGGAAUCUUCCGCAAUGGGCGAAAGCCUGACGGAGCAACGCCGCGUGAGUGAUGAAGGUCUUCGGAUCGUAAAACUCUGUUAUUAGGGAAGAACAAAUGUGUAAGUAACUAUGCACGUCUUGACGGUACCUAAUCAGAAAGCCACGGCUAACUACGUG
rnacentral:rRNA from 1 species